AUUCAAUUAUUUGACACUCCUAUCUAAUUCCUUGACAUUCUGAUAAAGAGAGAAACAAGAGAGAGAGGGAGAAAACCAUGAGAAGAAGAGAAGAAAAAGAAUUCAAGUUUUGUGCUGAAAUUGAAGGAAGAACUUAAGAGACUCAACAAAUUAAAGUUCUAGGUCAUGCGCCAUGAUUUGCCUGAUUUAUCUAAUAUGUCCAGUCUGUCUGAUUUGCUUCUGCAGCCAUCUGUGAGUCGGCGCGUGAUCAGGGCCAGAGUUGACGUCCUUCAUUUCUAUUUUUGUUAGCCAACCUAUGUGCCUCCCGUGGAGGUCCCAGAUAUGUCAAGUGAUUAUCGCUAUGUGAUUUAAAGUUUAAGUUCUGUUUUCUUGUUUGGUUAAACCAGUCUUGUGUAUUUUCAAAAAGGUGCUAAGUCCUUUUUGUUUGAUCUGUAUAUAUAUUAUGACGUAGGGAUGAUGUGUUUAUAUGUAUAUGCAACGUUUAAAAUUUUUCUAUCUCAUGUAAGUCUGCACAGCUCAAUGGACGUUGUAUAUUGUUAUUUGCUUC